CCCGGAUUUUGUGCUUAUAAAACAUUUUAAGCGAUCAUUACUAAUUAUUUAUUGUUCUUUAAGAAAUUGUGUCAUUACUAAAUCAAAUUAGCUAUUUGCACUAAUCAGAAGAAAAAAUGAGUUUACUUAUCAUGUUAAGCAGGGACAACUCCCUUCCUUAUGUUUUUGUUAGAGAGGGGUGGGGCCUUGAUUGGCUGAGGUGACGUGAGCAAAACGCUCAGUGAGUGCCUGGAGCUUUUAGGAUGCUGGGUUACCGCGGAUUUUUGAAAAUCAACAUGACACGAUGGACCUUAUGUUUGCAAAAAAGUGGAGGAGUCUUAACCUGCAAUAAGGUGGGUCCUGCUACGCUGGAUGUAGAUCAGGUGUUCUUGUAAUUCAGCAGUGGGAAAGAACCUUAAGCGGGAAUUUGGUAACACUUUAUAAUAACUACACACUAUAAAUCAUUUAUUAAGCAUUAGCAAAUAGUGAAUUCUUUAUUUGUCAAGCAUUAACUCUACGUUGAUAAACGUUAGUAAGCAGUUUAUAACUGCAGCUACACAUGCUGUAUUAUUGACUUACAAACACAAUUAUAAUGUGCUUAAUAAUUGUACUUUUCGUACUUUGUUAAUGAUUCAUUUUUCAUUGACAAAUUAAGUAAUCGCAUUAUUAACAAACCAGUUAUUUAAGAGUAGUUGGCUGUUUUUUAAGAUCAGUCAGAAUGAGUUAGUAAAUUAUUAAUAAAUUAUUGAAAUCAACAUUUGUAUAUCUUAUUAUUCAGGCAUUUACAAUUAGUUAAUUUGUAUGUUUAAAAAUGCUUUAUUAACUCAACUUCAUCCAGUUUUGUGACCUAAACAAAAGUGAAGACUAUUCAUGCUUUAUAAAUUGCUUAUAAAUGACAAUUAAAGGCUCAGUUAAAUUCUAAACAGGAAAAACAACAUAAAUGACACUAUUCAUUCCUAUUCAGUUGAAGAUACACAUAUAAACUGCAUCAAAUGAAAAAUAAAUCUUUGCAACCUUCUCUAAAAUAAAAUUACUGUACAGUUUAAACAUUGCAUCUUAUUAUAUUGUUAAAUUAUUAUAUUAUUGU